CGGGUGGCCUUUUGCAGUUGGCAGAUCAUAAUUUUGUCAAUGUCUAUUGUUUCCAAAUGCCGGCUGAGAUCUUUUGGCACGGCACCCAGUGUGCCCAUCACCACCGGGACCACCUGCACUGGUUUCUGCCAGAGUCUUUGAUUAUUAUUAUUAUUAUUAGGUUCAUACUUAUUUACCCAUAUCAUCAAAGGCCGACUCAAUUAUUUUUCACAGCUAUUCCAAGCUCCUUAGAAGAAAGCAAAAUGCAAUUCCCAUUGAAUGGUUCCAUUCUCACUUGCCCUCUUUUGAACUCUGUGUUGUUAUUUGUAAGCGGAUCUAGGAAGGAUCUAUUGAGCUGUGUGUAUAAUCCUACUCAAAUUAAAUUCAUAUCACUGUGGUUGUAUAAAGUGUAUCGCAGGUUGAGUUUCUCUUUCCUGGAAAUCCAAAAGAAUCCCGAAAGGUUAAACGUUAACCCGGUGUUUGUCUUUCCUCCCCUUUGGCAGGUGGGUCCGGCCAUGGGCCUUGCUGGACCUUGCGCAGAGGGGUCCCCGGGGUCAAAGGACUUCCGCCGGGAGAGGCUCCCAUGGUGAGGCCUGGCAUGGAGCCCUCUGCCCCCGGCGGUGACCCCGGCCUCAGGGACCGUUAUGGAGAGAGCCGGUCAAGACCUCCGGACGAAAGCGUGGACCCCUCCUCUCCGUUUGCAUUGCUGGAAGACCUGGACCUGUGGCUGGACGGCUGGCAGGGGGCAAAAGGGGCAAAAGGGACCACCGUUAAUGAGGGGCCACCCUCAACACAGGAGGCGAGCCCCCCAAAAAUAGACAAGGACCCCACACUGGACCUCUUCCAGGCCAGCAUCCGCCAGGCCCAGCUCUGCGUCCUGGAGCUGCAAGGGGAGAUUGACCGGCAGGCCGUGAGCCCCACGAGACCCUCGCAGGAGCCUUUGCGCUUGACCACUGACAGCGAGGAAGAGGAGGAUGAAGAAGAGGAAGGAAUGCCAGAAGAGGAAGAGGAGGAGGAGAUGGAGUGCUUGUUCUACGACAACCCUCUCUUCCAGGAGAGCCCCGUACCCACAAAAGUCCCCGUUGGCUUUGAAGAUCCAGCUUCAGAGUCCCAGGAAGUGACCUCUCCUCCCGGCCGCAAAGAGAUCCUUCUUGGCUGGACAAGGCAAACUCCGGACACCAAAACAAGUGACCAAGUCGGCUUUGAAGACACAGCUGCGGAGUCCCGGGAAGUGGCCUCUCCUCGCGGCCUCAGAGAGAACCUUCUUGGCUGGACAAGGCAAACUCUGGACACCAACACGAAUGACGAAGUUGGCUUUGAAGACACAGCUCCGGAGUUCUGGGAAGUGGACUCUUCUCCUCCCGGCCACAAAGAGACCCUGCUCCGCUGGACAAGGCAAACUCCGGACACCAACACGAGUGACCCCAUCGGCUUUGAAGAUCCGGCUUCAGAGUCCCGAGAAGUGGCCUCUCCUCCCGGCUGCAAAGAGAUGCUGCUCCGCUGGACAAGGCACUCUCCGGACACCAACACGUGUGACCCCGUCAGCUUUGAAGACACAGCUCCGGAGUCCUGGGAAGUGGACUCUCCUCGCGGCCGCAGAGAGAACCUUCUUGGCUGGACAAGGCAAACUCUGGACACCAACAUGAGUGACCCUGUUGGCUUUGAAGACCCAGCUCCAGAGUUCCGGGAAGUGGCCUCUCCUCGCGGCCGCAAAGAGAUCCUGCUCCACUGGACAAGGCACCUUCUGGACACCAAUACGAGUGACCAAGUCGGCUUUGAAGACUCAGCUCUGGAGUCCCAGGAAGUGGACUCUUCUCCUCCCGGCCGCAAAGAGAACCUUUCUGGCUGGACAAGGCAAACUCCAGAGUCCCAGGAAGUGGACUCUUCUCCCGGCCGCAAAGAGAUCCUUCUUGGCUGGACAAGGCACUCUCCGGACACCAACACAAGUGACCAAGUCGGCUUUGAAGAUCCAGCUUCAAGGUCCCGGGAAGUGGCCUCUUCUCCUCCCGGCCGCAGAGAGAUCCUUCUUGGCUGGACAAGGCAAACUCCGGACACCAACGCGAGUGACCCCGUUGGCUUUGAAGACUCAGCUCCAGAGUCCCAGGAAGUGGACUCUUCUCCCGGCCGCAAAGAGAUCCUUCUUGGCUGGACAAGGCACUCUCCGGACACCAACACAAGUGACCAAGUCGGCUUUGAAGAUCCAGCUCCGGAGUCCCAGAAAGUGGCCUCUCCUCCUCUUGACCCCAAAGAGAUCCUGCUUCGCUGGACAAAGCACCCUCCGGACACCGCCACCAGUGACCCCAGCCCCAUCUUGACCAGUCUGCCCCAAUGCCACCCCCUUCCUCCGCUGGUCAUCACCGAAGAAGGAGAAGAAGAGGAAGAGCUGGACCUCGCCCGGAAAGAAGAGAAGGAAGAGGAAGGCAACAAGACGCAAGCCCCACAGGGUCUCCCUCCCCAGCCGGAUGGCGGUCUCUCCGGAGGUGUUUCCGAAGGUCCGGCCACAGACGCCCACCCAGCCGGCCAAGGCCUCCUCUUCUCCGCUUGCAGCUCUUCCUUGGUCUCAUCGCUGCUGAUGCUGGAGGAGACCCCCGAGUGCCGUCCCCUGGAGGAGAGACCCCGACCCACAUUUCCGUCCCCCAAAGAGACCCCUCCCCGCCCCCCACCGCUGCCCUUGGCCCCCCGACUCCAGGAGCCCCAACGACUCAAGGAGCCUCCUCCACGGGCCUCCUUCCGGAGCCACCCGCCGGCCUCCUGCGCAUGGGCAGAGGGGCCCCGGGGAGCUUCCUGUCUGCGGGAGGAAGGCUCUGCGCAGGAUCCGCACCCGGUCCCGCUCCGCAGCCCAUUGAGGAAGUUGCCGGGGCCUUUGGACAAGCUGCCCACCGAGGGGCCGGCAGAAGAGGAGGAGGAGGAGGAGGACGUGGGGGAGACAGCAGCCCCCCAGAAGUAAGUCUGCCCUAUGGAGGAUCCCCUGUGGGCCCCCCUCCCCCUUCCGCCUGUCAGUCAGCCGCCCACAACAUCCUCCUGCAGUGGUUUGAGGCUGAGCGAGAGGCAGCCGGAGGAGGAAAGGCUCAGGGCGGAUCACACUAUAUACAUAUAGGGCAAAUAUUCAAUGCCCAUAUACACAUAGAACUGAGACAGAGACAGACGCAGAGGCAAUUUAACCUUCUCCUGAGGGCAUGUUCAAUUCCAGCCACAGGGGGGAGCAGCUGCUUCAUCGUCCACUGUGACGGCACUUCCUCAUUCCAACCUCGUAAAUUAGUUAAAUUUGCCUCCCCACUUUAUAAGUGGUACCUUAUUUCCCACUUGAUAAAGGUAAAGGUUUCCCCUGACAUUACGUCCAGUCAUGUCUGACUCUGGGGUUGGUGCCCAUCUCCAUUUCUAAGCCGAAGAGCCGGCAUUGUCCGUAGACAUCUCCAAGGUCAUGUGACCAGCAUGACUGCAUGGAGCACCGGUUACCUUUCCACCGGAGCAGUACCUGUUUAUCUACUCACACGCUGGGGGUUGGUGCCCAUCUCCAUUUCUAAGCCGAAGAGCCGGCAUUGUCCAUAGACAUCUCCA
rnacentral:lncRNA from 11 species